CUGGUACAGAGGAUGGAAGG
rnacentral:miRNA from 1 species